rnacentral:RNase_P_RNA from 1 species
GCGGAGGGCUGGAUGACCGCGGGCGCGGCAACGCGUCCGAGGAAAGUCCGGACUCCAUAAGGCAACGGUGCCGGGUAACGCCCGGCGGGGGCGACCCCAGGGAAAGCGCCACAGAGAACAGACCGCCACGGUCCGCCGGGGCAAGGGUGAAACGGUGGGGUAAAGGCCCACCGGGGGGCUGGCAACAGCGCCCGCUUGGCAAGCCCCACCGGGAGCAAUGCCGAAUAGGGACCACGCGCCGAAAGGCAGGGCGGCCUUGCCCCGGUGGUCCGGGUUGGCAGCUAGAGCCCGUCAGCAAUGGCGGGAUAAGAGGAAUGGUCAUCCAGGGACGGGGCGACCCGACCCGGACAGAAUCCGGCUUACAGGCCCUCCGCGCGC